UCCCUACAAUCUGUUCUCAACACAGAGU
rnacentral:piRNA from 1 species